GAAAGUGCUUGGAAGAUACAGGUUGGGGAUAAUUCUGGAGAUCCUUGUGAAGUAAGAGCCGAUAAACUUUCAAUAUCUGCUGACUCCAUCCCAGGCUGUUGGAGGAUGUGAGGAUUAGUUUCUAAGUUUGGGACAAAUCUUUCUGGGGGAAGAAGAGGAGGAGUGUGCAAACACAACUCUCGUUUGGAACAAGAAUUAAGAAGAUAAAAUGCGAGGAAGGUGCUGACUUGGACUGAUCUAAUCGCCAUGCUGUAGUUCAGGGAUGUGAGCCAUGAAGCUGAGGCUGGACUGCAGAAACACUUGGACAGCAGGUUCAUUAGCUGGACGAAGGGGACUCUCACUCACGGCAUUUCCUGGUGCUUUCGUGUGCAGGAAGCUUAGCGGAGACUUCAGACGAGCAUUUCGGUGCAAAAGCAUACAGAAAAUGCAGUGGAUUAGAAGAGGCUUCUGCAUAGAAGUUACUAACCCUGUACUGGAUCAUAUUCAUAAGCGAUUUUAGGGAUCAACACAUUCCUUGUUCAAGAAUCUUUCCAUCCUUGCUGAUAAGUGUGCUGGAUGAAGGGCAUAAUUAAUUUAA